CAAUAGCGUAUAUUAAAGCUGUUGCGGUUAAAAAGCUCGUAGUUGGAUUUCUGUCAAGUACAACUGGUCCGCCCUCCGGGUGAGCACAUAGUUUGGUCUUGGCAUCUUGCUGGAAAUUGUUGCUGCACUUGGCUGUGUGGCGCAGUGUCCAGCACUUUCACUUUGAGGAAAUUGGAGUGUUUCAAGCAGGCAAUGCCUUUGAACACAGUAGCAUGGAAUAAUUAGAUUGGGCUUUUGCUCCAAUUUGUCGGUUUCUGGAGCUGAGGUGAGAAUUAAUGGGGAUUGUUGGGGGCAUCCGAAUUUAGCCGUCAGAGGUGAAAUUCUUGGAUCUGCUAAAGACGGACAACUGCGAAAGCGUUUGCCCAGGAUGUUUNCAUUG
rnacentral:rRNA from 1 species